rnacentral:tRNA from 1 species
GGAGGUGUGGCUCAGUGGUAGAGUGUUUGCCUUGCAUGCAUGAGGCCCUGGGUUCGAUUCCUCAGCACCA